GACGAACGCUGGCGACGUGCCUAAUACAUGCAAGUUGAGCGCUGAAGGCUGGUACUUGUACCAACUGGAUGAGCAGCGAACGGGUGAGUAACGCGUGGGGAAUCUGCCUUUGAGCGGGGGACAACAUUUGGAAACGAAUGCUAAUACCGCAUAAAAACUUUAAACACAAGUUUUAAGUUUGAAAGAUGCAAUUGCAUCACUCAAAGAUGAUCCCGCGUUGUAUUAGCUAGUUGGUGAGGUAAAGGCUCACCAAGGCGAUGAUACAUAGCCGACCUGAGAGGGUGAGCGGCAACAUUGGGACUGAGACACGGCCCAAACUCCUACGGGAGGGAGCAGUAGGGAAUCUUCGGCAAUGGACGAAAGUCUGAACGAGCAACGCCGCGUGAGUGAAGAAGGUUGUCGGAUCGUAAAACUCUGUUGGUAGAGAAGAACGUUGGUGAGAGUGGAAAGCUCAUCAAGUGACGGUAACUACCCAGAAAGGGACGGCUAACUACGUG
rnacentral:rRNA from 1 species